UGGGGAAUCUUGGACAAUGGGGGCAACCCUGAUCCAGCGACGCCGCGUGGGUGAAGAAGGUCUCCCUCUUCGGAGGGGAUUUGACGGUACCUUAUGAAUAAGGACCGGCUAACUCCGUGCCAGCAGCCGCGGUAAUACGGAGGGUCCAAGCGUUGUCCGAAAUUACUGGGUGUAAAGGGUGUGCAGGCGGAGCGGAAAGUCAGAGGUGAAAGCCCGCAGCUUAACUGUGGAAUUGCCUUUGAUACUACCGCUCUUGAGUCCCGGAGAAGCUGUCGGAAUUCGUGGUGUAGCGGUGAAAUGCGUAGAUAUCACGAGGAACACCAGAAGCGUAAGCGGACAGCUGGACGGUGACUGACGCUCAGGCACGAAAGCGUGGGGAGCAAACAGGAUUAGAUACCCCGGUAGUCC
rnacentral:rRNA from 1 species